GAUGAACGCUAGCGGCGUGCCUAAUACAUGCAAGUCGAGCGAACAGACGAGGAGCUUGCUCCUUCGACGUUAGCGGCGGACGGGUGAGUAACACGUAGGUAACCUACCUAUAAGACUGGGAUAACUUCGGGAAACCGGAGCUAAUACCGGAUAAUAUUUCGAACCGCAUGGUUCGAUAGUGAAAGAUGGCUUUGCUAUCACUUAUAGAUGGACCUGCGCCGUAUUAGCUAGUUGGUAAGGUAACGGCUUACCAAGGCAACGAUACGUAGCCGACCUGAGAGGGUGAUCGGCCACACUGGAACUGAGACACGGUCCAGACUCCUACGGGAGGCAGCAGUAGGGAAUCUUCCGCAAUGGGCGAAAGCCUGACGGAGCAACGCCGCGUGAGUGAUGAAGGUCUUCGGAUCGUAAAACUCUGUUAUUAGGGAAGAACAAACGUGUAAGUAACUGUGCACGUCUUGACGGUACCUAAUCAGAAAGCCACGGCUAACUACGUG
rnacentral:rRNA from 1 species